AACGAACGCUGGCGGCGUACCUAACACAUGCAAGUCGUGCGAGAAAGUUCCCUUCGGGGAGCGAGUAAAGCGGCGCACGGGUGAGUAACACGUAGGUAAUCUACCUCUAAGUCCGGAAUAACCAGCUGAAAGGCUGGCUAAUGCCGGGUAAGACCACGGCCUCUGCGGGGGCUGCGGCCAAAGGUGGCCUCUUCAUGAAAGCUAUCGCUGAGAGAUGAGCCUGCGUACCAUUAGCUAGUUGGUGGGGUAACGGCUCACCAAGGCUGUGAUGGUUAGCUGGGCUGAGAGGAUGACCAGCCACACUGGGACUGAGACACGGCCCAGACUCCUACGGGAGGCAGCAGUGGGGAAUAUUGCGCAAUGGGGGAAACCCUGACGCAGCGACGCCGCGUGAGGGAAGACGGCCUUCGGGUUGUAAACCUCUUUCAGUUGGGACGAAGCCUGUCCGGUGAAUAGCCGGCUCAGGUGACGGUACCUUCAGAAGAAGCCCCGGCUAACUACGUGCCAGCCGCCGCGGUAACAC
rnacentral:rRNA from 1 species